UACGAACUGGUGCAAACGUUAUUCGGAAUCACUGGGCUUAAAGGGUGCGUAGGCGGCUUGUUAAGUAGGGUGUGAAAUCCCCCGGUUCGAACCCGGGGAACUUGCGCCCUAAACUGGCGAGCUGGAGUGAGAUAGGGGGUGUGUGGAACUUCCGAGUGGAGCGGUGAAAUGUGUUGAUAUUGGAAGGAACGCCAGUGGCGAAAGCGGCGCUCUGGGCCGGUACUGACGCUGAGGAGCGAAAGCGUGGGGAGCGAACAGG
rnacentral:rRNA from 1 species